UCAACCAAUCAGAGCCGAUACCUU
rnacentral:siRNA from 1 species